CCAGAAGUAGAUAGCUUAACCUUCGGGAGGGCGUUUACCACGGUAUGAUUCAUGACUGGGGUGAAGUCGUAACAAGGUAACCGUAGGGGAACCUGCGGUUGGAUCACCUCCUUACCUAAAAUGAAGC
rnacentral:rRNA from 1 species